ACUGAACCAUCACAUAUGACGC
rnacentral:siRNA from 1 species